rnacentral:lncRNA from 1 species
AUGGAGAACAGGCAACAGCUCCUCCAACUGGUUGGAGCAGAUAUCACUGGAAGCCCCCCAAAUAUUAAGAUUUUUAAACAACUUCAAGUUCUGGUGGGAACAGCCAAAUGCACUACAGAAACUUUGGGACCAGCAGCCACGACACAACAGGUGAGAGAGGCAGCAGACAUCAUUGCAAGGUGGAGUGCACAACAUACAAUGACAAACCCGAAACGGUCUGGGGAUGUGGGAAAAUACCAUGCACACGGCCAUCCCGGAGCCCCUGUCUUUCCAGUGGCAAAAGGUUCGGUUCCUUCGGAGGGGCGUGCCACUCCCCCUCUUCCCCACCCAGGGGACCACCACCCCAGGCACAGGAAGAACCGCGGUCCCUCCGCGGGCACAUCUCAGCUGGGGAAGAAAACACAAUGUCGCUCCUUAUUUCGGCGUACAAAAGGACUUUGCGCCCUCCUCCUCGAACUGCCGCCCCGGCCGCCUCCUAACUUGCAAGAAGGUGGGCAUCGCGCCAUAUUCCAGCGUCCCCCAGUCUACCUGGGUAACAAGCCCACGCCACCCCGGCAGGAGGGAAGCUUCAGAGGUCGCCCAAAGAGCCAGCCUCCUCUCCCGCAGGAGACAGCGGCUCCUGCGCCCCAGCCCUGCCCCGCCGCGCCGCCCGCCCGCGGACUAGAGCCGGGAAGGGCCGAGGGGGCGAGCGAAGAGCCGCGGCUUCGGUCCCGCGCAGCCCGCCCACCUCCCGCUCCCGGGCCCGGCGCACUCUCCCGCGCCUCCCGCUCCCGAGCCGAGGGAAGGCCGGGCCCCGGGUUCCACGGCGGGGAGGAGGCCGCGGUCCCGAGAGCCCCAGGCAGCGGGGGAGGCCGGAACCCUGGGGCUCUCGGGAGGGCAGCGCCUCCCUCCCCAGCCCGCCAGGACGCCUGGGGCCUAGUGCGGCCUGCGCAUCCUCGGGGUGGCGGUUUGGCUGGGCCGGGCCGGGGCCCCCCGCCCGAGGCGGGCCGAAUCCGGCGGGGGCCCAGGCCCGGAGCCGGGGGCGGCAGGGUGCCGGCUGCGGGGCGGGCCGGCCGGCCGGCGGGCGGGCGGCGUGUUGCGGCUGCGCCGGGGCUGAAAUAG